UUUUGAAAUAUCACAUUAAUUUGAACAAAACGAGGUAUAAUAAAUCCGAUAUCGCGGAUCAUCGUGCUGCUUUAACAAUUGAAACGUUAAUUCAAGACAAUAAAUACAAACGUGACGAGAUCGCGUAGCAGUAACGUAAAUCGAUUAAAAGUUUUGCUGGAUCGAAUAAUUGCGAUUACGAUAGAUCGAUUUCGCGAUACUGCUGCGCAUUGAACAGUUGUGCAUCUGGUAAUUAUACCACUGUUCUCCAUGUUACAUCUCGCGAGAGAUUGAUCGAUCGAUUGUACGCGACUAAUUUCGAAACUCUGGCAAAAGACGUGUGUACAAGGAACAGUGGGAAGGAUAGAAAGUACAAGUGAAUUAUUUCUCUUAUAAUAUUCUCGCCGCGGCUCCACAGAUGUGAACGAUAAUAUCGAAUCAGCGUGCAACUCGUUUCCUACAACAGUUGCAAACGGAUCACAAUUUAUCGAAGCAAACGUACUGGCGAUACUAUGUCAUUCUGACAAAGAAGAAUAAAUUAAUCGAAUAAAUUAUUUCGCAUCGUAAAUACCUUAUGAUUGUGUAUACUAUUGACUAACUAUAUUUUGGUGGGUCCAAAGAGUUCUGUUUCGCCAAGUAAAUUGAUACAAAUGGUUUCAAUAGGUUUCCAUUGUUUUCGGCGAAUGAAAGGUUUGAACGAAAAGGCAUAUUCGCGACGUUCUGAGCUCGAGGGCAGCGUGGAUGGAUGCGAAGAAACCCCCAUUAAGUUGUUACGCCGACUUAUCCUCCUGCACGUCGAUUAAUCGCCGUCUCAGUUCGGUGCAACGACAUUUCGCCUUCCUCAUAGGGAGGCAUCUUUCGCCGCUCUUCUUUUUCCGCACGAAAUUUCGCCUCGAGCUUGUAGACGAGAAGCGCCACUCGAAAAAGACGUUCGAUACGAGGAAGAGGUUAGGUCCUCGCCCGCGGUCCCCUCUCGACCGUUCUCGUGAUAGCUGUGAGGGCCGUUUAUUAAGGAAAGGUUUACUCAUUGGGGCCGUCUCUGGGCCGAUUUCUGCGGGUUUUUGACCGCUCUAGGAAUUCAUCCUCCGCGCGGAUGAACGUUACACUUCAUGGUUUCAUGGCCCAUUCCACGCCUUCCAAAAUUUUGUCCCGAGGAAAGGGUUCAUUUCGAAAGAAUUCUUUUCCUGCGUCUCGAACUUCUCUGAAAAUGAAGGGAUUCUGGAGGUGCGAGAGAUGCUUAUAACUUGCAAAAAUCGAACAUUUUUAUUCCAUAACGAAGAAUGGAUUGGAAAUAAUGGUUGAAAAUAAACGAUAUAUCCAGUUAGUAACUUUCAAUCAUCCUUGAAAACUACGCAAAAGGAACGAAAUACGACAAAAGUGAAGUGAAUAAUAUUUGCUUGCCUUGAAAAACUUACGUAAACUUAUUGAUAUUUCUUAUCGAUGCGGCGAUCACGUAACGUACACGAAAUACAAUACGAUUUAUAUGAAUGUGAUUCCAAACAGUGGCAACGAGAGAUAAAUAGAAACGAGAGCCUUUUCUUUUCUUUUUUUUUUUUUUUUUGAUAAAAUUAAUUUAUUAAGAUAGAA